CCUACGGGGGGCAGCAGUGGGGAAUAUUGGACAAUGGGGGGAACCCUGAUCCAGCCAUGCCGCGUGUGUGAAGAAGGCCCUCGGGUUGUAAAGCACUUUCAGUGAGGAAGAACGCCUGGUGGUUAAUACCCAUCAGGAAAGACAUCACUCACAGAAGAAGCACCGGCUAACUCCGUGCCAGCAGCCGCGGUAAUACGGAGGGUGCGAGCGUUAAUCGGAAUUACUGGGCGUAAAGCGCGCGUAGGUGGCUUGAUAAGCCGGUUGUGAAAGCCCCGGGCUCAACCUGGGAACGGCAUCCGGAACUGUCAAGCUAGAGUGCAGGAGAGGAAGGUAGAAUUCCCGGUGUAGCGAUGAAAUGCGUAGAGAUCGGGAGGAAUACCAGUGGCGAAGGCGGCCUUCUGGACUGACACUGACACUGAGGUGCGAAAGCGUGGGUAGCAAACAGGAUUAGAUACCCCAGUAGUC
rnacentral:rRNA from 1 species